AUUGAACGCUGGCGGCAGGCCUAACACAUGCAAGUCGAACGGUAACAGGAAGCAGCUUGCUGCUUCGCUGACGAGUGGCGGACGGGUGAGUAAUGUCUGGGAAGCUGCCUGAUGGAGGGGGAUAACUACUGGAAACGGUAGCUAAUACCGCAUAAUGUCGCAAGACCAAAGAGGGGGACCUUCGGGCCUCUUGCCAUCGGAUGUGCCCAGAUGGGAUUGGCUUGUUGGUGGGGUAACGGCUCACCAAGGCGACGAUCCCUAGCUGGUCUGAGAGGAUGACCAGCCAAACUGGAACUGAGACACGGUCCGGACUCCUCCGGGAGGCAGCAGUGGGGAAUAUUGCACAAUGGGCGCAAGCCUGCUGCAGCCAUGCCGCGUGUAUGAAGAAGGCCUUCGGGUUGUAAAGUACUUUCAGCGGGGAGGAAGGGAGUAAAGUUAAUACCUUCGCUCAUUGACGUUACCCGCAGAAGAAGCACCGGCUAACUCCGUG
rnacentral:rRNA from 1 species